rnacentral:rRNA from 1 species
UACAGAGGUCUCAAGCGUUGUUCGGAUUCAUUGGGCGUAAAGGGCGCGUAGGCGGCCUGGCAAGUGGAAGGUGAAAUCCCUCGGCUUAACCGAGGAACUGCCCUCCAAACUGCUUGGCUUGAGUCCGGGAGAGGUGAGUGGAAUUCCCAGUGUAGCGGUGAAAUGCGUAGAUAUUGGGAGGAACACCAGUGGCGAAGGCGGCUCACUGGACCGGAACUGACGCUGAUGCGCGAAAGCGUGGGGAGCAAACGGG